UACGUUUGUAAAGCGGCGAACGGGUGAGGAAUACAUGGGUAACCUACCCUCGAGUGGGGAAUAACUAGCCGAAAGGUUAGCUAAUACCGCGUACGCUUCUUGGACUUCGGUUCAGGGAGGAAAGCGAUACCGUGGGUAUCGCGCUCUUGGAUGGGCUCAUGUCCUAUCAGCUUGUUGGUGAGGUAACGGCUCACCAAGGCUUCGACGGGUAGCUGGUCUGAGAGGACGAUCAGCCACACUGGCACUGCGACACGGGCCAGACUCCUACGGGAGGCAGCAGUGGGGAAUAUUGGACAAUGGGCGCAAGCCUGAUCCAGCGAUGCCGCGUGUGUGAAGAAGGCCUGCGGGUUGUAAAGCACUUUCAGUAGGGAAGAAAAGCCGAGUGCUAAUAUCGCUCGGUCUUGACGUUACUUACAGAAGAAGCACCGGUUAACUCCGUGCCAACAGCCGCGGUAAUACGGAGGGUGCGAGCGUUAAUCGGAAUUACUGGGCGUAAAGGGCGCGUAGGCGGUUUGGUAAGUCGGGUGUGAAAGCCCCGGGCUCAACCUGGGAAUUGCAUUCGAUACUGCCUGGCUAGAGUAUGGUAGAGGGAAGCGGAAUUCCGGGUGUAGCGGUGAAAUGCGUAGAUAUCCGGAGGAACACCAGUGGCGAAGGCGGCUUCCUGGACCAAUACUGACGCUGAGGCGCGAAAGCGUGGGGAUCAAACAGGAUUAGAUACCCUGGUAGUCCACGCCCUAAACGAUGAGAACUAGCCGUUGGAGGAGCUUUGUCCUUUAGUGGCGCAGCUAACGCGAUAAGUUCUCCGCCUGGGGAGUACGGCCGCAAGGUUAAAACUCAAAGGAAUUGACGGGGGCCCGCACAAGCGGUGGAGCAUGUGGUUUAAUUCGAUGCAACGCGAAGAACCUUACCUGCCCAUGACAUCCUCGGAACUUUCCAGAGAUGGAUUGGUGCCUUCGGGAACCGAGAGACAGGUGCUGCAUGGCUGUCGUCAGCUCGUGUCGUGAGAUGUUGGGUUAAGUCCCGUAACGAGCGCAACCCUUGUCCUUAGUUGCCAGCGGGUAAUGCCGGGAACUCUAAGGAGACUGCCGGUGACAAACCGGAGGAAGGUGGGGAUGACGUCAAGUCAUCAUGGCCCUUAUGGGCAGGGCUACACACGUGCUACAAUGGCCGGUACAAAGGGUUGCCAACCCGCGAGGGGGAGCUAAUCCCAAAAAACCGGUCGUAGUCCGGAUCGGAGUCUGCAACUCGACUCCGUGAAGUUGGAAUCGCUAGUAAUCGCGAAUCAGCACGUCGCGGUGAAUACGUUCCCGGGCCUUGUACACACCGCCCGUCACACCAUGGGAGUGGGCUGUACCAGAAGUAGGUAGCCUAACCUUCGGAAGGCGCUACCACG
rnacentral:rRNA from 1 species